rnacentral:rRNA from 1 species
UACAGAGGGUGCAAGCGUUGUUCGGAAUUAUUGGGCGUAAAGGGCGCGUAGGCGGUGCGGUAAGUCACCUGUGAAAACUCUGGGCUCAACUCAGAGCCUGCAGGCGAAACUGCCGUGCUGGAGUGUGGGAGAGGUGCGUGGAAUUCCCGGUGUAGCGGUGAAAUGCGCAGAUAUCGGGAGGAACACCGGUGGCGAAGGCGGUUCUCUGGGCAUUACCUGACGCUGAGGAGCGAAAGCAUGGGGAGCGAACAGG